GCUGCUGGGAACCGGCCGGGGUGCCGGGUCGAAAGACAGACGCGCGGGCCGGGCGUGCGCGGGCUUGGUGGAGGGCGGGAAGGCUGAAGGGCGGUGACAGGUCGCACUGCCUCGCGAGGGCCAGAACGCCCAUUUCUGCAGAGGUGCACUCAGUGGCGUGGGAAAUCAAAUGCAUCCGGUUAUCCCAGUUCGGCCUCUCUGGGAUUCCGCGGGAGGGGGUGUCUGGUCUGGUUUGGUUUGGUUUGGUUUGGUUUGGUUUGGUCCGGUUCAAAGUAGCGCAGUCUGACUGAGCGGGAGGUGGAGUGGAAGGCGAGAAUAGGGGUGAAGGAUUAGACAGAAGAAGACUUUGAACUAGGAACAGUGGCAACCAGGGUGACCCAGGCUUUUGUGACCCGUAGAGGCAGAAGGUGAGGCGUCUACGCCCUCUCUCACCAGAUUUUGGGCGGCCCUGUGGAGACACCCUGUGCCCUUUAAGGGACAUGGAUUGAGUCGGGAUCUCAAAAUGUGAGCCUUUCCUCAGACCCAGCUUUGACCCACGUACUCGCCUUUCCUCAACUCAUUUUCAUACUUUCACUUGACUAUAUAUUUUUUAAAAAUUGUGUUAAGCACUUGAGGUUCAUUUCUGCCCCUACUGUAUGUGCACCCUGUGCCAGAGGGUGGGGUGAACACGUGUGUAGCAGUCAUGCGUCCUGUCCACAGGGGCCGAUGCACCUCCUUGCAACCCUUUACAUUCCACUGUGAAACAAACCUCAACUUUUUCUUAUUCCUGUUUUUACACCGUGCUUAUAGCUGCCUUAAUCCAUGUUCCCUUCGGGAUGCUGGUAUCCAACUGAGAAGUUGACGGAGCAUCUAUCGUGUGCCAGACACUGUGCUAAGUGCUAACGAGAAAUCGGUGAGCAAAACAGAAAAGAAAAAAAAAGAAGAAACGACUGCCAGCAUUGAACUUAGUACCUAGCAAAGUAGGUGGACAUAAAUCAAAUUGUCAGACAAGUAAAUGAGUAGUUGCAGCUGUGAUAAGGGGUAUGAAGAAUAGGCGCUUCCAUGAUGGCGGAACAUGACCUAGUCUGGGGUGGAGAAGGGGAGAUGAUUCCAGCUGGAAUAUGGCAGGUGAGAGUUAACUAAUAGCACUGAGUUGGCAGAGGCAGGAUGACCUGCCCCAGGCAGGUGCCCCAGAAUGAGAGGAUGUUGCUGCUGGUGGAACUCCAGCUUUAAAGCGGUGGAUCUAGGGCCACAUUCCUCAAGGCCAUAGCAAACAGGAAAGACCUUUUGGACUAGGGUCUUUGGAGUAGUCACAUGAGGCCAAGAACCCAAUAGGGCUGAAAGAGAAUCUCAUCAUAGGCUGAAUGGGAGCAGAGCAUUAGCUGCAACUCCAAUGUAUUAUAGUAAAAGGGGACACAUUGAUUAGAAUGAUUAUACCCCUCCAAGUGUAAGCUGUUGUUCAAUUUACCCAGGGCUUAAAAAUAUGUCAACUCUUCACAACCAUUUUUACUACAAGCCACACUCAACCUGUGUUGUUCCCUGAACCUGUGAUGCACUUUCAUCCGUUCAUGUCUCUACACAUCCUUCCUGGGCCCCAUAGAGGCCCUGCACCUUAAGGUUUUCAGCUGGAUUCCUAUUAGCUAGUUAUUUUAUCUCAGGUACAGAGAGUUAACUUUGCUCCUCAAUUUUCAGCACAUUGUCAUAUCAGUCCCUACAGGGUCCUUGUUUACAUUAUUUUAUAGUGUUUAUAUUAUUUUUUCCUCAUCUUUCUCGAUCCCCACUCUCAUUCUUCUAGACACAAGCUGCAAUAUGUUCGAUAGAGAUCCUUGAUAAUUUAACACAGAUAAUGUUUUGUUUAUGCCUCUUGCAUUUACAGAGAUGGUAUUGGACUGUAAAUCUCUAUUUCCCACUGUUUUACUCAACAGUCUGUUUUUGAGCUAUACCCACAUUGCUGUGUGUACACCUAGUUUGCUACCGAGUAUGCCAGAAAUUUUAUUCAUACAUAUCCCUACUGAUCGGGCAUCUAGGUUACUGCCAACUCCCUGAAGUCAUACUGUGGUGAAAACCCUUGUGAAUGUCUUUACAAACCUUUGCCAGAACUUAUUUUGUGCUCUUGUAGAACUUUGUGCAUACCCUCUGCUUCCUCAUUACACUGCUUGGCAUAUAGCAGAGACUCAACAAAUGUUGAAUACCUCUACUAUGAUGGUUAGUGUACUAGAAUAAUUUAUUUAUAUUUCUGUUUUCCUUAUUGGAUUAUUAGUACCUUCCAGACAGGGCAAAUGUCUUUUCUAUCUUUGUGUCCCUGGCACAUUAAAAGUGGUUGAUUUCAAGGUAUGUUCAAUGAAUGAAUAAAUACUUAUCUUCACUGCCAGUACAUACUGCAACUUAGUCUUCCCCACUUGACUCUGAGUCUCAGCCUUACUCUGAUCUCUAGCUUUUGAUAUUUCCCCUUUCAAGAUAGCUUACCUGAAUUCAGACACUGAGCUCAGGCCUGAUCAUGAGCCUGCUCUUCCAAAGUCCUCUCUCUCUCUCUCUCUUUCUCUCCUGUCUCUCGUUACAGGCAGCUCCUGCCUUCCAGUUCGUUGCUCAAGCCUAAAACUGAGACAUUUUGACCCUCUUUCACACAUCAGAUCCAUCAGCAAAUCAUUGUAGAAUCCAGACUCUGUUUCUGAUCAUUUGCUCAGCUAAAACCAUAGUCCAAGCUUCCAUUCUCUUACCUGCAUUAUGGCAGCAACUUCUUCGCUGGUAUCCCUGCAGUCACUGUCCACUGUUGUACCCUCUCUGACAGUUCUCAGCACAGAAGACAGAAUGACCCUGUUGAGGUGUCAAUCAAGUCACUCUGCCACUCACAAUCCCCCAGUGACUCCCUACAUCUCUCAGAGUAAAAGCCAGAGUCAUUAUUUAUUCUGGCUUCAGUGCCCUAUAUACUCUGACUUCUGUUAUCUCCGCUAUCUCACCUUCUACUUUCCCCCUUCACUUCAUUCCAGUGCAUGAAAUCUAUCUAGUUCACCUAGAUUUUCUCCUAUGUUAUCUUUCAGAAGUUUUACAGUUUUGUGUUUUGCAUUUAGGUCUAUGAUCCAUUUUGAGUAAAUUUUUUUCAAAAGAUAUAAGGUCUGUAUCUAGAUUAUUUUUUGCAUAUGAAUGUCCAGUUAUUCCAGCACUGUUUAUUGAAAAGGCCAUUGUUUCUCAUUCCAGCCAUAAUGUUUUCUUUGUUGUUUCUUGAAAAUAGCAGACAGGUUCUGUCUCUCUCCCCUCACUAGAGUGUAAGCUCAGUGAGAACAAAGAUUUCCAUUUGUUUUAUUCACUGCUUGUCCCCAGUGCCUACCACAGUGUCUGGAACAUAGUGAAUGUUUACUAAAUAUUACAUGAAUGAACGAAUAUGUGUUGAGGACCCGGCCGAGGUUGAGUCAGCUCUCAUGCCUAUAUUUAUCUGAUAUUGGAAUGAUGCUUCAGUGUUUCUAGCCCUGCCUUGGCCCUUGGUUUCCAUUAAAUUGCUGCCUGUUGUCUUUGCAUUGAUUUAUUCUGUGCUAUUUCCUGCUCCUUCGCAAUUUGAGCCCUCUGAGUCUUUUCCAUGGCUCAAACCCAGCUGAAAUGCCUUCUGCCCUUUCCGACUCUCAAAUCUUAUGUACCCUUCAGGACCCAGCUAAAGUCACACUUCUUUCUUGACACUUUCUCUGACAAUUUCCUUUAACCAUGACCUCUCAUUCAAAUGAGAUAUUAGAAAAAGAAUAAUUAAUUGGCUUUAUUUUUUAGAACAGUUUUACAUUUAUGGAAAAAUUAAGCAGAUAGUGGAGAGAGUUUCUAUGUACUUCCUAAUCUCCCUCCUCCCCUACAGUUCCUCCUGUUAUUAACAUCUUGCAUUCGCAUUGUACAUUUAUUACAACUGAUGCAUUAUUACUAACUAAAGUCUAUAGUUUACAUUAAGAUUCACUCUUUGUGUUGCAUAGCUCUGUGGGUUUUGAAAAAAGCAUAACAUAUCCACCAUUACAGUGUCAGCAGAACAAUUACACUGCAUUAAAAAAUUCCUUGUGUUCCACCUAUUCAUCUGGUCUACCUGCAACCAACCCUUGGCAAUCACUGAUGUUUUUACUUUCUGCAGAAUUUUGCCUUUUCCGUAAUGUCAUAGAGUUGGAAUCAUAUAGUAUGUAGUCUUUUCAUACUGCUUUUUUUUUUUUACUUAGCAAUAUACAUUUAACAUUCCUCUGUGUCUUUUCAUGGCUUGAUAGUUUAUUUUCUUUUAUUGUGCACAGUAUUCCACUGUAUGUAUAUACCAUGGUUUGUUUAUCCAUUUAUUUAUUGAAAGACAUCUUGGUUGCUUUCAGUCUUUUAAAAUUAUGAAUAAGGCUCCUGUAAACUUUCUUGUACAGAUUUUUGUAUGGACAUAAGUUUUCAACUCAUUUAGGUAAAUACCAAGGAGCAUGAUUGCUGGAUCAUAUGGUAAGACUAUGUUUUGCUUUAUCAAAAAUUACCAGAUGAUCUUCCAAAGUGGCUGUAACAGUUUGCAUUUUCACCAGCAAUGAGUGAGACUUCCUGUUACUCCACAUCCUUGCCAACAUUUGGUGUUGCCAGUAUUUUGAAUUUUGGGUAUUUUAAUAGGUGCAUAGUAGAAUCUUAUUGUUUUAGUUUGCAAUUUCCUAAUGACAUAUGGCAUUGGGCAUCUUAUGCUUGUUUGUCACGUAUGUAUCUUCUUUGAUAAGGUGUCUGCUCAGAUCUGUUACCCAUUGGGUUUUUUUUAUUGAUGAUUUUUCAGUGUUCUUUAUAUAUUUUAGAUAUCAGCCCUUUAUCAGAUUAUGUAUUUUGCAGAUAUUUUCUCCCAGACAGUGGCUUGUCUUUUCAUUCAUUUAACAAUGUCUUUCAUUGAGCAGACAUUUGUAAUGAAAAAAUUUCGACUGUUCAGUUUUUUUCAGGGAUCGUGCUUUUAGCAUUGUACCCAAAAAGUCAUCACCAAACACAAGUUCACCUAGAUUUUCUCCUAUGUUAUCUUCCAGAAGUUUUACAGUUUUGUGUUUUGCAUUUAGGUCUAUGAUCCAUUUUGAGUAAAUUUUUGUGAAAGAUAUAAGGUCUGUGUCUAGAUUGUUUUUUGCAUAUGAAUGUCCAGUUAUUCCAGCACCGUUUGUUGAAAAGACCAUUGUUUCUCCAUUGAAUUAUUUGCUCCUUUGUCAAUGAUCAGUUGACUGUAUUUGUAUGGAUCUAAUUCUGGCAUCUUUAUUUUGUUCCAUUUAUCUACAGUUGGCCCUCUGUAUCCAUGGGUUCUGCAUCAACAGAUUCAACCAAUGACAGAUCAAAAAUAUUCUUUAAAAAUCCCCUAAAAAUGGCCAGGAGGGGUGGCUCAUGCCUGUAAUUUUGGUACUUUGGGAGGCCAAGGUGGGGGGAUUAUCAGGUCAGGAGUUCGAGACCGGCCUGGCCAACAUAGUGAAGCCCCGUCUCUACUAAAAAUACAAAAAAUUAGCUGAGCAUGGUGGCGGGCACCUGUAAUCCAAGCUGCUCAGGAAGGUGAGGCAGGAGAAUCACUUGAACCCAGGAGGCAGAGGUUGCACUGAGCCAAGACCGCACCACUGCACUCCAGCCCUGACGACAGUGCAAGACUCAGUCUCAAAAAGAAAAUCCCCUAAAAAUAACAAUAUAACAAUAAAAAUAAUACAAAUAAAAAAUCAAUAAAGUAUAACUGUUACAUAGCAUUUACAUUGUGUUAGGUAUUAUAUAUAAUCUAGAGAUGAUUUAAAGUAUACAGGAGGAGGAUGUGCAUAGGUUAUAUGCAAACACUACGUCGUAUUAUAUAAGAAACUUGAGAAUCCACAGGUUUUGGUAUCCUCAGACAUCCUGCAACCAGUUCCCCCCAUGAUACUGAGGAACAACAGUAUUUCUCUUUUCUUUCAUCAAUACCCUACUGUCUUGACUACUGUAACUUUGUAAUAAGCUUUGAAGUAAGAUAGUGUCUGUCUUCCAACUUUGUUCUUCCUCAAUAUUAUACUGCCUAUUCUGGAUCUUCUGUCUUUCCAUAUAGACUUUACAGUCAGUUUGUCAAUAUUCACAAAAUAACUUGCUAGGAUUUUGAUUCAGACAGCAUUGAAUCUAUAGAUCAAGUAGGGAAGAAGUGACAGUUUAACAACAUUAGUCUUGCUAUUUAUGAACAUGGGAUAUUUCUCAAUUUAUUUAGAUUUUUCAUUUCUUUCAUAAGGUGUUGAACUAGAUUCUGUACAUAUUUUAUUAGAUUUAUACCUAAAUAUUUUGUUUUUCAGUGCUGGUUUGAAUGGUAUGUUUUUAAUUUCAAAUUCCAAUUGUUCAUUGCUGAUAUAUAAAUUUCCCUCUCAUCACUGCUUUUGCUGCA
rnacentral:lncRNA from 10 species